UUCUCGCCCCGCAUAUGGAGGAUUUUCUUGGUAAUCCAAAAUCCCAUUGAGUUUGAAGAGAAUAGGGUGGGUUUAUUUACUGGAUGAAUCCGAUGACGUUCCGGAAGUGUGACAUUUGUCCCCGGAAGGGAAAGCCGGGGAAGGAGUGGGGUCCGGCUCAUUCUGGUCCGGUUGUCAUGGCGCUUUCCCCGUACGUGUUGGCCAUGCAGGAAUUAUUCCGGGCCAACACGCGCAGCCGCGAAUUCCCCGCGCACGGGGCGAAGGUGCACUCGGUGGCUUGGAGCUGUUGCGGCCGCCGCCUGGCUUCGGGCUCCUUCGACAAGACGGCCAGCGUCUUCGUGCUCGAAAAGGACCGCCUGGUAAAGGAGAAUAACUACCGUGGCCAUGGAGACAGUGUGGAUCAGUUAUGCUGGCACCCUAGUAACCCAGAUUUAUUUGUCACUGCAUCUGGAGACAAAACCAUCCGUAUAUGGGAUGUCCGCACCACUAAGUGCAUUGCCACUGUGAACACCAAAGGGGAGAACAUAAAUAUUUGCUGGAGCCCUGAUGGGCAGACUAUUGCAGUAGGGAACAAGGAUGAUGUGGUCACCUUCAUUGAUGCAAAAACACAUCGGUCCAAAGCUGAGGAGCAGUUCAAGUUUGAGGUGAAUGAGAUCUCCUGGAACAAUGACAACAACAUGUUUUUCCUCACCAAUGGCAAUGGCUGCAUCAACAUCCUCAGCUAUCCAGAGCUCAAACCUAUUCAGUCGAUAAACGCCCAUCCAUCAAACUGCAUUUGCAUUAAGUUUGAUCCCAUGGGAAAGUAUUUUGCUACAGGCAGUGCUGAUGCACUAGUAAGCCUCUGGGAUGUGGAUGAGCUAGUAUGUGUGCGAUGCUUCUCUAGGCUGGAUUGGCCUGUGAGGACUUUGAGCUUCAGCCAUGAUGGGAAAAUGCUAGCUUCAGCAUCUGAAGAUCACUUUAUUGAUAUUGCUGAAGUGGAAACAGGGGAGAAGCUCUGGGAAGUGCAGUGUGAGUCCCCAACCUUCACAGUGGCUUGGCACCCAAAGCGACCUCUGCUGGCCUUCGCCUGUGAUGACAAGGAUGGAAAAUAUGACAGUAGCAGGGAAGCAGGCACUGUGAAGCUCUUUGGUCUCCCUAAUGACUCCUAAAAAAAGGCUGCUGGAGACUGUAUCUAUUUGUCACCUUGAAUUCUGAGCCAGGGCAAGGAUGUUCACCAGCCAUAUUUGCUGUGGCUCUAUUCUGGGAUUGCUGUGGUUUCUAAAAUAGGAGCUCUACCACAGCCUUAUAUUCCCUCAUCCAUAAAGUCAGCUUUUUGAGGUUCUUGAAAACCACCUGAUUGUCCUAGAGGGCACAGAGACUGGCCAACCAAAUUCUCUUCCCUUGUCCUGGGGCAUUUCUAUUUUUUUACAGCAAGAGUGGGCAGGAGGACAGCCUUCACUCCUCUGCCUGUUCAGGGGCCGUAGCAGGCAAGGCCUCCUGCAGAUCUUGGUGACUGAUCAUCCCUUCUCAUAUUCCAUUGAGGACGGGAAGGCUGAGUGCAAGUCUCUGUUGUCACAUUUGAAGCCUUCCUUUCUGCUUGGAGAAUGGUUAACUCGCCCUUUUUGGAGGCAAGUACUGUCGUAUGCACCUGUUGUCCCCUGCUGCUGCUGCUGCUUCAGCAUCAGUUGUGACUUGGAUCCUGUGACAAGUCUUGAAGAUGUCAUCCAUGUGCCUGAUUAAUCUGAGUGUGACCUGAAGUAGUUGUGCAGUGGCUGAUGGAUCUAUAUAUGCGGGGCCGAAAAAGGAAUGAAUUCACCCAAGCACAAAAGAUUGUUGCCAUCUUCCAACAAGAAUACCUACCACUGAAGCAGGAAACAAACCAGCCAGAGCUCCUCUUGCCCCUCUCUUCCUCACCUUCUGACCCAAGCAAGAACCAGGAAAGGCCUCCCUCUGUAGUCUGGAGAAAGAACAUCAAUGUGUAUUUCUCUGAAGGUGGUAUAUGUGGGCUGUACACAGCACUGAAGGUGGCACAGGAGAGAAGCUACAUGGAGAGACAUCUCUUCAGUGUUCAGCUAGCCAGUCUGUGGCACUCAUCUGCAAACAUUCUAGCCUGGUAUAUAAACUCUUUCACACCCCAGUACACAAAGCACUGCCUAACACUGCCAAUACAUUCAGUCUGUGCCGGUACUGCUUUGGCUGUAUUAGUGUCUAUUAUUGAUGCUCUGGGUCUGUAUGCCACUCCCCUCCCCAU